CUUGACAUACACCGGAAAGCAUCAGAGAUCGGUGCCCCCUUGUGGUCGGUGUACAGGUGGUGCAUGGCUGUCGUCAGCUCGUGUCGUGAGAUGUUGGGUUAAGUCCCGCAACGAGCGCAACCCUUGUCCCGUGUUGCCAGCAACUCUUCGGAGGUUGGGGACUCACGGGAGACCGCCGGGGUCAACUCGGAGGAAGGUGGGGACGACGUCAAGUCAUCAUGCCCCUUAUGUCUUGGGCUGCACACGUGCUACAAUGGCCGGUACAAUGAGCUGCGAUACCGCAAGGUGGAGCGAAUCUCAAAAAGCCGGUCUCAGUUCGGAUUGGGGUCUGCAACUCGACCCCAUGAAGUCGGAGUCGCUAGUAAUCGCAGAUCAGCAUUGCUGCGGUGAAUACGUUCCCGGGCCUUGUACACACCGCCCGUCACGUCACGAAAGUCGGUAACACCCGAAGCCGGUGGCCCAACCCCUUGUGGGAGGGAGCUGUCGAAGGUGGGACUGGCGAUUGGGACGAAGUCGUAACAAGGUAGGCGUAGCGAG
rnacentral:rRNA from 1 species